GACGAACGCUGGCGGCGUGCUUAACACAUGCAAGUCGAACGAUGAAGCUGGAGCUUGCUCCGGUGGAUUAGUGGCGAACGGGUGAGUAACACGUGAGUAAUCUGCCCUUGACUCUGGGAUAACUGCGGGAAACUGUAGCUAAUACCGGAUACGACACCUUCGGGCAUCCGAUGGGUGUGGAAAGAAUUUCGGUCAAGGAUGAACUCGCGGCCUAUCAGCUAGUUGGUGAGGUAAUGGCUCACCAAGGCGACGACGGGUAGCCGGCCUGAGAGGGUGACCGGCCACACUGGGACUGAGACACGGCCCAGACUCCUACGGGAGGCAGCAGUGGGGAAUAUUGCACAAUGGGCGAAAGCCUGAUGCAGCAACGCCGCGUGAGGGAUGAAGGCCUUCGGGUUGUAAACCUCUUUUAGUUGGGAAGAAGCGAAAGUGACGGUACCAACAGAAAAAGCACCGGCUAACUACGUGCCAGCAGCCGCAGUAA
rnacentral:rRNA from 1 species